ACAAUGGAACCUUGGUAAAUAUAUUUCUUUCGGGUUCUAGAUGAGGAGGCCAACCAAUUAAGAAAAACCUUCUGCCCUAUAGAGAUGCAGCAUUACAAGCAAGCCGCUAUAACAAUUCCAUGUGCCUAGAGGCAAAAACUUGCA